UUAAAAACAAAGAUGGGGAAUAGUAGAAGGUUAGCACUUUGUAGAGAUCAGAAUCCUCUGGCUGAAAGAUUCUGUAGGAGCAGCUUUACGAACCCGCCCCGGAGUUUGGGACUGAAAACAGUAAGUCUUAACGGCCUCGGUCCGUUACAGCCGAAUCAAGAGAGUCUCCUAAAGGAGAUUAAUUAGAGUGGUACCGCGGAAAAUCAACCUUUCGUCUCUACA
rnacentral:ncRNA from 1 species